rnacentral:rRNA from 1 species
GUGUCAGCAGCCGCGGUAAUACAGACGGUCCAAACGUUAUUCGGAAUCACUGGGCUUAAAGAGUUCGUAGGCGGUCAGGAAAGUGGGGUGUGAAAGCCCUCGGCUCAACCGAGGAACUGCGCUCCAAACUCCCUGACUUGAGGAGGCUAGAGGUAAGCGGAACUGAUGGUGGAGCGGUGAAAUGCGUUGAUAUCAUCAGGAACACCGGAGGCGAAGGCGGCUUACUGGGGCCUUUCUGACGCUGAGGAACGAAAGCUAGGGGAGCGAACGGGAUUAGAUACCCCGGUAGUCCUAGCCGUAAACGCUGAGUACUGGACCGGAGUUCUGCAUAGGAUUUCGGUCGUAGCGAAAGUGUUAAGUACUCCGCCUGGGGAGUAUGGUCGCAAGGCUGAA